UAAUGAAUUAAUAGUAUUCUAAUAAUGAUUCGAAAACACAACAUGCAUUUAAAGAAAUAUAUAAAGAUUUAAGCUAGCAUGAAGUUUUAAGUGGCAAUAAUAUAAGCAAAUUGAUAUUUCAAAUUUAAGUGAAGAGUCCUUAAUUAGCUUGUUAGGUGCUAGUUGCUAUUACUAAACACAAAGUUGCCUAGAGCAUGCAUGUUUCCCUUGUUCUUUGGUCCAACUAAGUAGAACAGUGUGGUUGUAUUUUCAUGAUUACACGUUCUGCAUCAGUUUUUAAGAAUAGCUCUCCUAGUAGGCUGCAUCAGCAUCAUCAUAAUUAUUAUUCAAACGCGUCCUAGAAGAACCCAAAUUUUUCUGACAUGGAUCAUAGGUGGAAGCACAUACAUAAAGUAGUUUAGUUAGCUGUAUGAGGAGGCAAUUUGUCAAGCCAUUAUUUAAUGUUACACUUACACUUAAACAUAAGUGGGAUGAUGACAAAGCAAGGGGUUUAUGUAUGUCAUGCCAUUAAUUUUAAGCAAAUGGAUCAUUU
rnacentral:lncRNA from 1 species